UACGUAGGGUGCGAGCGUUAAUCGGAAUUACUGGGCGUAAAGCGUGCGCAGGCGGCUUUGCAAGACAGAUGUGAAAUCCCCGGGCUCAACCUGGGAACUGCAUUUGUGACUGCAUGGCUAGAGUACGGUAGAGGGGGAUGGAAUUCCGCGUGUAGCAGUGAAAUGCGUAGAUAUGCGGAGGAACACCGAUGGCGAAGGCAAUCCCCUGGACCUGUACUGACGCUCAUGCACGAAAGCGUGGGGAGCAAACAGG
rnacentral:rRNA from 1 species